CAGACUCGACGUAAACUACAGAGGCGUGUGUCUCAGCAGCGCACUGGUCAAUCUGGGUGAUUGACACGUCUACAGAACCGCCAGAGCCAGUAGAAUCGACGGACAGCAUCAAAAUCCCUCCCACGGACACCAAUCGCUUUCUGUUUUCCCCCUGACGCCAUUUGACAUGCGACUUCCGCCUGUCGGACCAGCAAAUACUUCGACGGAGCAGCAUCCUUCGGAGGACACGGUCUACGCGGCUGAAAAACGGAUUGAGGCUGUCUGGUCUACGGCGGAUCGUCCAUUUGCAUCAUCAACGUGUUUGGCCUUGACCUCAGAACGAGAAAGUUCGUGACUGGUGCUCAAUGAAUCCCAGCACAGACUAUAGUCGCGCCGCUGUGACGGAAUCGGUCUUCAAAUGUAGCCUCCGAAGGGGACGACCUCUGAUUUUGGACACAGCUAAUGUCAUUUCUUGAAUGAUAUUAUGUCAUCACCAACCAACUUUUGUCAUCCUUCCGGUGUGAUCCUCACGACUGACCUGAGACCAGUGAUCACCGUCGGUUCUCUGGGGACAGUACCCUCCUGAACUUCACAGCCUCUUCUCGUGUUUAGUCUCUCGCACACAGUCGCCUGCUCUUCUCCCAAAACCCCACGAUUAACCAACAACAGACUCCAUUAAAACUCUGUUUCUCGUGUAUCCACACGAUGCCCGCAAACAUCUGCGCCCACUCCGGAAUGUGUUUCCAAUCCAGAGUGAAGAGUCAAACAAAGGUCUUUGUCUGAUAAAAACCGACGUUCAAUCACGAGAGGCUGGAUGUUGCUGAAAGGUUUCGGGGAGUGGGAAUUGUCGACCGGGAGGGUCAGAGGUUUGGAUCCCUCGGAGCAGCUGGAUGAGGAAACCACUCGAGUAGGAGGAUUGGGCCUCUCAGCCAGAAACUGUGGUCUUGGAGAUGAUUUACUUGUCGUGUCAGACAGAUGAUACCGACUGCAGAGCGAAAAAGGUCGCGGAGAUCACCGCGGAGAGAGAGAGGCCUUCGUUUUGUUGACAAUUAACUGCUGAUGUAUAAAUAGUCAGAUCUUGGCAUCGGAGCCAGCAUUGUUUUCAGUCCCUGGGUAAUCUUCUGCCUAACUCAGCACAAAUAGAAUUUAAAAAACCGCUACCGUUCUGACCACACGGCUCCACGGGUAGGCCCCCGGAAAUCCCGUCCAGAAAACGUGACACAUGGAAAAAGAUCAUGAGUGAUCGGCAGCAGAACCCCGCUCACAUCCACUGUUUGCCGGAGCUGCGGUCCGACUGAACUCGAGCGUGAUGAAAGGAGCGGCGGCCACACGAAGGCGGAACCGAAACUUUCCCCCCUCAUGGAACGAGGCCGUGCAGCAUGGGAUAUGAAAUGCGACGGGCAUAAGACCUCAGUAUCUUUAUUUUCCAUCCAUCCCAUUAUCUAUGCCGCUUCAUCUUUUUAACGGUGGUGGGGGGGUGGAGCCAAUCCCAGCUGACAUUGGGCAAGAGGCGGGGUCACCCUGGACAUGUCGCCAACCUAUCCCAGUGCCAACAACCAUUCACACUCACACCUAUGGUUUAAUUUAUAGUCUCCAAUCAACCUAACCCCAAUCGGCAUGUCUUUGUGGGAGGAAGCUGGAGAACCUGGAGAGAACCCACGUAUAUGCAGGGAUAACAUGUAAAACUGCACACAGAAAGGCCCUGGAGUGUUCAAACCGGGAAGCGAACCAAGAUUAGAUGACCACUGCACCACCGUGAAGCCCUAAUCUCUAUUUUUCAAAACAUAAUUACACAGUGCUUUGCAGGAGACAAUAAAAAAAGACAUGCUAAAUGAGAGAAAUGCUCAAAAUCGUAAUCCUCUAAUGCAUCUAAUAUUCUUUUCUGAACAGCUCUGCCUUUGUGGGUUUACAGCCGUUAGGUUUGCAGCUGCAGGGUCAGGAAGACAAAUCUGAAUCUGACGACAUGACAACAGCUUAGGAUCGAUUGACAUUUUCCUGGUUCAGUUUAAAACGGAUAUAGAUUCAGUCUGAUUGACAUCAUGUCAACCCAGUAGGUCUGAGUGAACGUGGUCCCGACUGAUUCUGGAUCUCCAGAUUCCGGUCCUGACCGAAUUUGAUUGUUGUUGAUAUUUUGAUAAUUGAUGGUUUGAAGACUUUUUUACCAACUGCAGCACCUUUAGGAAUCUUCAGAUCCACCUACCUGCUUGUUCCGGUGCUUAUCAGACUGAGUUUGUUUACAUUAUGACAGAAAUGUAGAGGUUCUGUUUAAAAGUUUUCACUGUCUAAUGUAGAAAAGUCUACGUUGACGCUUGAACUUUUGGUAUGUUUUGACAACCUUCAUCCCAUUUUCAACUGAGCAAACUGAAUCUGUUUCCUGAGGGCUGUGUGAUAUUAAAAUACUGAUACUCAGGAUGAACUGUCAAGUAGAUUCUGGGUAUCGCCAAGUACUUCCCAAACGUAUUCGGUUCCGAUUCACGCCGCACCAAAUUCCAUUUGUUUGUGCUUAUUGUGAUUCGAUUAGCUUUAAUAUCUGCUCCGUUUCAGCUACAAUAGCAAUUUUCGCUCGAGCGGGAAAGAGAUUCUUGAGAGAACGAAGGCUUGUACAAAUUGUACAAGGAACACUGCCUCUGCCGUGAGGCUUGGCCGUGCUUUCGGUGGAGCGGCUCCCGCCAGGUUACAUGUCUCUCGCACGGCCCGGGCCUUCUCACGCAAAGAGGUCCGGACGCAGAACAGAGAGACAGAGUUACAGAGCUUCACGCAUCCACGGGGGGGAGAAAGGUAGUGUGCAAUGUAGUAAAGGUUGGAUUUUAAG